AUUGAACGCUGGCGGCAUGCCUUACACAUGCAAGUCGAACGGUAACAGGUUAAGCUGACGAGUGGCGAACGGGUGAGUAAUGUAUCGGAACGUGCCCAGUCGUGGGGGAUAACUACUCGAAAGAGUGGCUAAUACCGCAUACGACCUGAGGGUGAAAGCGGGGGACCGUAAGGCCUCGCGCGAUUGGAGCGGCCGAUAUCAGAUUAGCUAGUUGGUGGGGUAAAAGCCCACCAAGGCGACGAUCUGUAGCUGGUCUGAGAGGACGACCAGCCACACUGGGACUGAGACACGGCCCAGACUCCUACGGGAGGCAGCAGUGGGGAAUUUUGGACAAUGGACGCAAGUCUGAUCCAGCCAUGCCGCGUGCGGGAAGAAGGCCUUCGGGUUGUAAACCGCUUUUGUUAGGGGAGAAACGAGCUUCUCUAAUACAGAGACUUAAUGACGGUACCUGAAGAAUAAGCACCGGCUAACUACGUGCCAGCAGCCGCCGUAAAAC
rnacentral:rRNA from 1 species